rnacentral:rRNA from 1 species
UACGGGGGGCAAGGCGUGUUCGGAAUUACUGGGCGUAAAGGGCUCGUAGGUGGCCAACUAAGUCACACGUGAAAUCCCUCGGCUUAACCGGGGAACUGCGUCUGAUACUGGAUGGCUUGAGUUUGGGAGAGGGACGCGGAAUUCCAAGGUGUAGCGGUGAAAUGCGCAGAUAUCAGGAGGAACACCGAUGGCGAAGGCAGUUCUCUGGGCCGUAACUGACGCUGAGGAGCGAAAGCGUGGGGAGCGAACAGG